rnacentral:rRNA from 1 species
AUUGAACGCUGGCGGCAGGCCUAACACAUGCAAGUCGAGCGGCAGCGGGAAAGUAGCUUGCUACUUUUGCCGGCGAGCGGCGGACGGGUGAGUAAUGCCUGGGAAAUUGCCCAGUCGAGGGGGAUAACAGUUGGAAACGACUGCUAAUACCGCAUACGCCCCACGGGGGAAAGCAGGGGACCUUCGGGCCUUGCGCGAUUGGAUAUGCCCCGGUGGGAUUAGCUAGUUGGUGAGGUAAUGGCUCACCAAGGCGACGAUCCCUAGCUGGUCUGGGAGGAUGAUCAGCCACACUGGAACUGAGACACGGUCCAGACUCCUACGGGAGGCAGCAGUGGGGAAUAUUGCACAAUGGGGGAAACCCUGAUGCAGCCAUGCCGCGUGUGUGAAGAAGGCCUUCGGGUUGUAAAGCACUUUCAGCGAGGAGGAAAGGUUGAUGCCUAAUACGUAUCAACUGUGACGUUACUCGCAGAAGAAGCACCGGCUAACUCCGUGCCAGCCGCCGCGGUAACAC